GUGUUCGUUUCAGCAGCACAUAUACUAAAAUCAGAACAAUACAGAAAUUAGCAUGGCCCCUGCGCAAGGAUGACAUGCAAAUUCGUGAAGCGUUCCAUAUUUUU